CCUACGGGAGGCAGCAGUAGGGAAUCUUCCACAAUGGGCGAAAGCCUGAUGGAGCAACGCCGCGUGGGUGAAGAAGGUCUUCGGAUCGUAAAACCCUGUUGUUGGAGAAGAAAGUGCGUGAGCGUAACUGUUCACGUUUCGACGGUAUCUAAACAGAAAGCCACGGCUAACUACGUGCCAGCAGCCGCGGUAAUACGGAGGUGGCAAGCGUUAUCCGGAGUUAUUGGGCGUAAAGGAAACGCAGGCGGUCUUUUAAGUCUGAUGUGAAAGCCUUCGGCUUAACCGGAGUAGUGCAUUGGAAACUGGGAGGCUUGAGUGCAGGAGAGGGGAGUAGAACUCCAGGUGUAGCGGUGAAAUGCGUAGAGAUAUGGAAGAACACCAGUGGCGAAGGCGGCCCCCUGGUC
rnacentral:rRNA from 1 species